rnacentral:rRNA from 1 species
GUUGAUAAGGUUAAGUGAAUAAGGGCGCACGGUGGAUGCCUUGGCACUAGGAGCCGAUGAAGGACGGGACUAACACCGAUAUGCUUUGGGGAGCUGUACGUAAGCUAUGAUCCAGAGAUUUCCGAAUGGGGGAACCCAACAUCUUUAAUAGGAUGUUACGAUUGUGUGAAUACAUAGCACAUUCGAGGUAGACGCAGAGAACUGAAACAUCUAAGUACCUGCAGGAAGAGAAAGAAAAUUCGAUUCCCUGAGUAGCGGCGAGCGAAACGGGAAAAGCCCAAACCAGCAAGCUUGCUUGUUGGGGUUGUAGGACUCCAAUAUGGUAGUUCUUUCAGAUAGUCGAAUGACUUGGAAAAGUCAGUCAAAGAGGGUAAAAACCCCGUAGACGAAAUGUGGAAGACACCUAGGAGGAUCCUGAGUACGGCGGAACACGAGAAAUUCCGUCGGAAUCCGGGAGGACCAUCUCCCAAGGCUAAAUACUCCCUAGUGACCGAUAGUGAACCAGUACCGUGAGGGAAAGGUGAAAAGCACCCCGGAAGGGGAGUGAAAUAGAACCUGAAACCGUGUGCCUACAACAAGUCAAAGCCCGUUAAUGGGUGAUGGCGUGCCUUUUGUAGAAUGAACCGGCGAGUUACGAUUGCAUGCGAGGUUAAGUUGAAGAGACGGAGCCGCAGCGAAAGCGAGUCUGAAUAGGGCGUUUGAGUAUGUAGUCGUAGACCCGAAACCAUGUGAUCUACCCAUGUCCAGGUUGAAGGUGCGGUAAAACGCACUGGAGGACCGAACCCACGUACGUUGAAAAGUGCGGGGAUGAGGUGUGGGUAGCGGAGAAAUUCCAAACGAACUUGGAGAUAGCUGGUUCUCUCCGAAAUAGCUUUAGGGCUAGCCUCGGAAUUGAGAAUGAUGGAGGUAGAGCACUGUUUGGACUAGGGGCCCAUCUCGGGUUACCGAAUUCAGAUAAACUCCGAAUGCCAUUCAUUCAUAUCCGGGAGUCAGACUGUGAGUGAUAAGAUCCAUAGUCGAAAGGGAAACAGCCCAGACCACCAGCUAAGGUCCCAAAAUAUAUGUUAAGUGGAAAAGGAUGUGGGGUUGCACAGACAACUAGGAUGUUGGCUUAGAAGCAGCCACCAUUUAAAGAGUGCGUAAUAGCUCACUAGUCGAGUGACCCUGCGCCGAAAAUGUACCGGGGCUAAACAUAUUACCGAAGCUGUGGAGUACACCUUUAGGUGUAUUGGUAGGAGAGCGUUCUAAGGGCGU